rnacentral:rRNA from 1 species
UACGUAGGGUGCGAGCGUUAAUCGGAAUUACUGGGCGUAAAGCGCGCGUAGGCGGCUUUGUAAGUUAGAGGUGAAAGCCCGGAGCUCAACUCCGGAACUGCCUUUAAGACUGCAUCGCUAGAAUUGUGGAGAGGUAAGUGGAAUUCCGAGUGUAGAGGUGAAAUUCGUAGAUAUUCGGAAGAACACCAGUGGCGAAGGCGACUUACUGGACACAUAUUGACGCUGAGGUGCGAAAGCGUGGGGAGCAAACAGG